UACGAAGGGGGCUAGCGUUGUUCGGAAUUACUGGGCGUAAAGCGCGCGCAGGCGGUCUUCCAAGUCAGUGGUGAAAGCCCGGAGCUCAACUCCGGAACUGCCAUUGAAACUGUGAGACUGGAGUACGAGAGAGGUGAGUGGAAUGCCGAGUGUAGAGGUGAAAUUCGUAGAUAUUCGGCGGAACACCAGUGGCGAAGGCGACUCACUGGCCCGAUACUGACGCUGAGGCGCGAAAGCGUGGGGAGCAAACAGG
rnacentral:rRNA from 1 species